rnacentral:misc_RNA from 1 species
GAUGAAGAACGUAGCGAAAUGCGAUAAGUAAUGUGAAUUGCAGAAUUCAGUGAAUCAUCGAAUCUUUGAACGCACAUUGCGCCCGCCAGUAUUCUGGCGGGCAUGCCUGUUCGAGCGUCAUUUCAACCAUCAAGCCCCCGGCUUGUGUUGGGGACCUGCGGAUGCCGCAGGCCCUGAAAAGCAGUGGCGGGCUCGCUGUCACACCGAGCGUAGUAGCAUACAUCUCGCUCUGGGCGUGCUGCGGGUUCCGGCCGUUAAACCACCUUCAUAACCCAAGGUUGACCUCGGAUCAGGUAGGAAGACCCGCUGAACUUAAGCAUAUCAAUAAGCGGAGGA